rnacentral:rRNA from 1 species
UACGUAGGGGGCAAGCGUUAAUCGGAAUUACUGGGCGUAAAGCGUGCGCAGGCGGUUUUGUAAGUCUGUCGUGAAAUCCCCGGGCUCAACCUGGGAACUGCAUCUGUGACUGCAUAGCUAGAGUACGGUAGAGGGGGAUGGAAUUCCGCGUGUAGCAGUGAAAUGCGUAGAUAUGCGGAGGAACACCGAUGGCGAAGGCAAUCCCCUGGACCUGUACUGACGCUCAUGCACGAAAGCGUGGGGAGCAAACAGG